rnacentral:lncRNA from 1 species
GCGGCCGCGUGGGUGGGGGUCCGGGGUCGGGGGGCGGUGCGAGGCCCGGCGGCGUCGGCUGAGGGACCAGCGGGACUGGGGCGAACCCGGCGUGGGCCGAGCCUUGGAGCUCGGGCGUCGGGUCACCGCGUCCCGGGACUGACCACCUGUCCGGUGCGCCGCUCAGAGACCGGGGUGGCCGCAGCCUCCGCCACUUGCCCUUGACUUUACACUUCCGCCGAAGCCUACGAACUUGCCAACCGGAAACAAAUGGGAACGAAUUUUGUUCAGCAACUACAAAAGGCAGAUGUGAAAAGUAGUUGCAGAACAAUUCGGUGCCCGCUGCCGCUCGUUGUGCUGAGGACGAACGGCGCUGCGGGCCUGGCUCCCUAUGGCGGCUCCCUGCUCGCGCUUCACUCCAAGGGGAACCCACAGAGGUUUUGGAGGAGUUAUUAAUAAAUUGUCUUUUUUGGUGACA